rnacentral:RNase_P_RNA from 1 species
CCAGGGGGCCGGGCAGCCGCGCUUAUGCGAGGAAAGUCCGGGCUCCACGAAACAAGGGUGGCGGGUAACGCCCGCCGAGGGCAACCUCAGGGAAAGUGCCACAGAGAGCAUACCGCCGAUGGCCCGCAAAGGAUCAGGCAAGGGUGAAAGGGUGCGGUAAGAGCGCACCGGGGUUCUGGUAACAGCGCCCGCAUGGCAAACCCCACCCGGAGCAAGGCCAAAUAGGGGCGGCGCGCCGAAAGGCAGAUGCGUUUCGUAUCGACCGCCCGGGUUGGCUGCUCGAACCAUGGAGCAAUCCAUGGUCCAGACGAAUGGCUGCCGCCGCGCGGCUGGUGUGCAAGCAUACCGCGUGCGGAACAGAACCCGGCUUACAGGCCCCCUGGCACU